AUUGAACGCUGGCGGCAUGCCUUACACAUGUAAGUCGAACGGCAGCAUGAUCUAGCUUGCUAGAUUGAUGGCGAGUGGCGAACGGGUGAGUAAUACAUCGGAACGUGCCCUGUAGUGGGGGAUAACUAGUCGAAAGAUUAGCUAAUACCGCAUACGACCUGAGGGUGAAAGUGGGGGACCGCAAGGCCUCAUGCUAUAGGAGCGGCCGAUGUCUGAUUAGCUAGUUGGUGAGGUAAAGGCUCACCAAGGCGACGAUCAGUAGCUGGUCUGAGAGGACGAUCAGCCACACUGGGACUGAGACACGGCCCAGACUCCUACGGGAGGCAGCAGUGGGGAAUUUUGGACAAUGGGCGAAAGCCUGAUCCAGCAAUGCCGCGUGUGUGAAGAAGGCCUUCGGGUUGUAAAGCACUUUUGUCCGGAAAGAAAUGGCUCUGGUUAAUACCUGGGGUCGAUGACGGUACCGGAAGAAUAAGGACCGGCUAACUACGU
rnacentral:rRNA from 1 species